UACGAAGGGUGCAAGCGUUACUCGGAAUUACUGGGCGUAAAGCGUGCGUAGGUGGUUCGUUAAGUCUGAUGUGAAAGCCCCUGGGCUCAACCUUGGGAAUGGCAUUUGGAAACUGGCGACCUAGAGUGCGGUAGAGGGUAGUGGGAAUUCCCGGUGUAGCAGUGAAAUGCGUAGAGAUCGGGAGGAACAUCCGUGGCGAAGGCGACUACCUGGACCAGCACUGACACUGAGGCACGAAAGCGUGGGGAGCCAAACGGG
rnacentral:rRNA from 1 species